CCUUGUGUACCUCGAUCCUCUUAUGCUCAUCAGAGAACUUCGUUGUUGAAUAAAGUGAUUGCAAACCUUCAUUGCUUUGUUCCUGAUGUAUGCCUGGAUGAGAAGGAUCUGUCAACAAAUUCAUUCGGUUCAUAUAGAAGGACUAUCAGAAACUGUCAGAUGGAUUCUUUUCUCUACUUCAGAGCUGACAGAGUAUCCACAAUUAGCAAGAACUUAUGACUAGCUUCCUUUAUUGGACUCUAAGCCCAGAUGAAAAAAAGAGUAGCCCAACGCUACAUUUUUUCUGGAAUAAGCGUCCUAAAAAGGAGUUUUAAUGCAUAAUAGGAAGGUACGAAGGUAAGACUAUCUUGUAAAGAUGAUAGGAAAGAUGGCAGUAUAUAUUUAAAGAAAACAAUGUAAUCGAUCAAUCAAAAUUGAAUGUCGGAACUAUUUCGACACUAAACUAAAUUGAGAUACCCCUUGAUGUUGCUGCCUCUCCCUCAUCUUGGCAGCCACUCUCAUCAUAUAAGGUGUAGCUUGUUGCAUCUACAGUGGCAGGGUGACUACAAAAG